CUUAAAGGAAUUGACGGGGGCCCGCACAAGCGGUGGAGCAUGUGGUUUAAUUCGAAGCAACGCGAAGAACCUUACCAGGCCUUGACAUGCAGAGAACUUUUCCAGAGAUGGAUUGGUGCCUUCGGGAACUCUGACACAGGUGCUGCAUGGCUGUCGUCAGCUCGUGCUGUGAAGUGUUGGGUUAAGUCCCGCAACGAGCGCCAACCCCUUUCCUUAGUUGCCAUCAGGUAAUGCGUGGGGACUCUAAGGAUACUCGCCCCGGGUUAACGGGGAGGAAGGGUGGGGAUGACGUCAAGUCAGUAUGUCCCUUACGUCCAGGGCUACACACGUGUUACAAUGGCCGGUACAAUGAGUUGCCGACCCUGCAAAGGUAAGCCAAUCUCAAAAAACCGGUCUCAGUUCGGAUUGCAGUCUGCAACUCGACUGCAUGAAGUUGGAAUCGCUAGUAAUCGUAGAUCAGCACGCUACGGUGAAUACGUUCCCGGGCCUU
rnacentral:rRNA from 1 species